CAGUUAUAUUUAACUUCAAAAGAGGAAACUCUAGAAUGGAAGGACCAUAUAAAAGAAAGCUGAAAGGUAUAGUUUGGAGAGUCUAAUCCAUUUGAAUGUUAAAACUGUUUCUGUAGAGGCUAAGUUGCAAUGUUUACCAGUCACCAAACUUCAAGAACCAAUAAAGGAGUUGAGUCGAUUCUUUCCCAAAACAACGUGUACAGUCUCUGGAAAACCAAAUGUUCAAUUCAAAGAAGUAAUGUGAAGAGUACAUCGUGAAAUAUAUGAAAAUGAAUACUAAAAAAAUAUUAAAAUAUGUUAUAACUAGGAAAUUAGCCAGAGAAGUAGGCGGAUCACAAAAAUGAAUGCUACUGUAAAAUAUGUCAUAAAGUUCCUCAUACUUUAUGAAUCAUCAUUUUCAGGCAAUGCACCCAAAUAACCAUUUCAAAUACUGGUUAUAAAGAUGGCAUUUGUAAAGAAUUACAGGCCUAUGUGUGCUGCCCCCACCCUGCAUGCUGCGAAGACAUUUCUGGAAGCUUUUGGUUUCAUUGUUAACUAAUCACAGCUUGGUGCUUUAUCUAAACCUGGACAAACAGUGGUUAAUCGUAAUUAUAGUUCGUGGAAACAAGCCAAUUUCAAGCCCUCCUUUUGAAGCUGGCUAGUUUUCACAUAGUUAAAAUUAACUACAGUUUAAGAUUUGGACAGUUCCAGGUAAUCUAAAAUGGGGGUACAAACUACCCUUGCAACUGUGCUGUAGGAGUAGGACGAGUAUGCAAGCUGUGGGAUAGGUAUGGGGCUUACUUACAAUUCUGAAUUACAUUCCAUAUGCAGCCCAAGUAGCAAGAUUGUUGAUUUAAGAUUUAAGAUUUUAUCUUAAAUAUGUAAUUUAUUGUGAAAAUGAACUUUCUUUCCUGAAGGAUUAGAAGAUACCUAAUGUAACACCAUUAUAUUAAAAAAAAAUCCCAUGGUAGAUGGGAGGGGUGGGCUACAAGAAGUCUCCAACCUGUUAGCCAAACAUCUAGAGAGUGACAGCAGCAUUUUUGUGAAACAUUAUUAGGCUAAAAUUAUGAAACUUAUAAAAAAUACAAGUUGUUCUUAAGGAACAAUAUCAUAGCUUCCUCAAAGGAAAGGCUUGCUUGAUAGCACCGGCUUUUCAGAAUACUUUCUUGUCAACAAGUGCGCUGAUGGGUGUGAUCCUGCAGAUUUGCAAUCUAGCACAGUGUUAAGCAUGUUUAAGCCCAAUGAAUUUACUUGAGAAAGUCCCAUACCAAAGGCUUCUGUAGUUAUGGCCAAACUACCUGUGGUAUGACUUAUUUGUGAUGAGAAUUUUGGUGCUUUCUUUAAAACAAAAACUAAUCACCCCAAGGUGACUGGGAGAAGGUUUUUAAAUCCUUUUGUCUCAUGCUCUUUUGAUAAUGUAAAUUGCUCCCUUCCCAAAUCUGCCAUUAAGGCUGUUGGAAAGAAAUUCAGAUACAUUGAUGAGUUGUAAGAAAUCAUGUUCUUAGCAGAAAGCUACCGGUAAUUGAAAAUGUAAACUCAGUAUUUUGUGGCAAAGAAGGCAAAGUCACUGUUAGGAAAGGAUGAAAAUCAAAAUAACAAGUAUUUUGUCAAGUAUGUUGUCAUAUAAUACUGUGCAAAAGAUCUGAUCUGGUUGCCUAAUCUCAAAAAGGACAAUAUGGAGUUAAAAAAUAUGGUGACUGGGUGCGCCCCCCCCCCGGUGUGCUAAGUGAUACUAUAUUAUGAUUUACUACUGUUGUUGUCCUUUUAAAGUCUUAAUAAAAUGUAAUUUUAAAAAAGUAUUCAAAAUUUACAGAAAAUGAAAACUGCUGGGGGCGGCGGAAAUCAUAUGAAGAAAGCUAAAGAAUUUCUGAGUUUCAGUUUAUAAAACAAGAAGUGAGGGGAGACACAAGGAGGUCUAUGCACCAUGAAUACUACCCAGUUAGGCAGACUUUGAGCUGUAACACUUAAUCAAAAUGCACAAACAGUUUAUUUGUGGUAUUCACCACAGAAGUACAGAUGUUGACAACCAGAUUAGCUCAUUUUCAAUAGGAUGAUGUUGUAAACAAAAACUGCUCCCUUUGCCUUACACGGUACACAAGAGCCCUUAUAGAGUCCUUUGUAGGUUCUCCAUCAGUAGGAGAAAAUAACAGAGGCCAACCAGAGAAUAUUGAGAAGCAAAGCAGCUAGUAAGCCUGAUCUUUAUUAAAGCUGUUGCAACAGGGUGCUCCCCUACACGGAUGAGGAGGAACCAUGCACGCAAGGCCUUAUAUAGACUUUUGAACUGCCCACCCUGGAGCCCAAGACCACCCCUCUAUACAUCUUACAUAUAUCACAGAAGGGGUGUAGCCCAAGACCAACCCCCAGUACAUCAGACAAGGGGCGGAUUACAACCGAAAUCUGAGUACGUUGUUUUUAUCCCGUCUGCCAGAUUACCUGAUUGGAUUAUCUGGGCAUCCUGGCCACUCUUUUUUUAUGAUAACUACUCAGUUCCUGAAUCCAGGUCACAGGUUCACCCUAUUCAUAUCUUAAAUGUGCCUUUGAGAGAGGAUUUGUGAGCAAAGAGACAAUGGGGAGGCUCCCCAUUUCCUUCGACUUUGCAGAGAAAUAUUUGAGGUCAAUUGGAAGCGACAAAUGGUUUCAGGACUUUUCUGUGGGUCUCAGACAUGUGGUCUAUACAUUUAUGUAUAUGCUUGCUAUAUAUAUAUCCUUAAAAUUCUUAUAACAAUGAGAUAAAUUCGUGUACGUUAAGUCAAUAAUUAGAGCAGGGGUCUGCAACCUUUAAGACAAAAAGAGCCACUUGGACCUGUUUCCGAAGGAAAAAAAACUGGGAGCCGCAAAACUCGUCAUUAUAAAAAUAAUGCACGCACCACCCCCAUGCGACGUCACAGCCAGUACAGCGCCCGCCACAGUGGGGAGUGUUGGGGCGCACAAUGCGCCUCCUCCCCUCGCUAGUAUCCGCCCCAGAGCCGCGCCAAAGGUGUAAAAGAGCCACAUGCGGCUCCGGAGCCGCGGGUUGCAGACCCCUGAAUUAGAGAGAGUCCAUGUUCCAGGUAGCACAUUACCUCUGGAAACCAGAUUAAGAUUUUAAGCCACUUGUUUGGACUAUCAUCAUCAUGUCUUGCUUAUGGAACUCAUCGAAGAUAUCUAGCUGGCCACUACUGAAAACAUAUAACUAGACUAGAUGGGUGUCAACCUGGCUUUGCAAGGGAUUUCUUGGGGAAAGAGAUGCCCCGUGUCUUGAGAUUUAUUUUAUUAGAUGUACUUGUUAUAUUACUUGGUUUUCACUACCCAUUCUUAAUGGACUGUAUAGUAUAGAUAACAUUCUAUAGGUCUUUCUUCUUGUUCCCAUCUGGUUUAUUUCUUUAUAAAGGCAAAAUAUGCUUGUCUUUAAGCAUAAUCAGUCAAAUAUAAUUAUUACAAAGCCUGAAGUUAGGAAUGUAUGUAAGGAUGGCUUCUUGCUAUUUCUGAUCCCUGCAUUACUUAUAGACCUGAUCAUGCUUUCAUUCAGUUCAAUCAGUCUUGUAAGUGCUUUAAUGUAUGCUCAAAGGGUUGAUUUGACAACCAAGGAUUGCUGCAGUGCAGUGGCAUUUCAGCUGUGACCUCUUUUACUGGCUGUAUCCCAAUAUACACUUGGUACAGUAACCUGCCAGGCUAUUCUGUCUAUCCCAGCAAGCCUUUAUUUUGUGUUUGUUGUGUAGGUAGAAGCUAUGUGCUAAGGUUGUACAGUAAAUGUAAUGGCAACAAGGCAAUUAAGGGAUCAUAUAUUAUUUUUAUUAGCAUUUUGAGUUUCAAACACUGACAAGACAACUGAGGACCCCACCUUGUGAUUUUUUUGCAGAAAUUAAAAGGGGAUGAAAAGAAUCCAGU